UACGGAGGGAGCUAGCGUUGUUCGGAAUUACUGGGCGUAAAGCGCACGUAGGCGGAUUUGUAAGUCAGGGGUGAAAGCCCACGGCUCAACCGUGGAAGUGCCUUUGAUACUGCUGGUCUGGAGGGAGGUAGGGGCGUGCGGAACUUCCGGUGGAGCGGUGAAAUGCGUAGAUAUCGGAAGGAACACCGGUGGCGAAAGCGGCGCGCUGGACCUCUUCUGACGCUGAGGCGCGAAAGCCAGGGGAGCAAACGGG
rnacentral:rRNA from 1 species